ensembl:lncRNA
CUCCCUCCUCCUCCUCAUGUUUUUUCCUCCUCUGCCUAUCCUCCCGCAGAUUUUCAGCUCUUCCUCAUUCUCCUCCUCCUCCUCUCUGCUUCCUACCCUCUUCCCACCAACGCGUUAUUCCUUUCCCAAUCUUUUAAUCUUUUUUUUUCCUUUUUUGUUUUUAUAUUUGUCUCUUUUUUCAACACUUCAUUCAUCAUCUCCAAUCCUCUUUUUUGGUAUAGUUUCUAUCCCCCUCCUUUUUUAAUCCCCCCCAUCAGCUUUGGCCUUUUUCACAAAUUUCCAUGGUUUAUGUCCCAAAAUCCCUCUAUUCUUUGCCACUCUCAUAACAUGUUUUUCUCUUAUCUUCCCUCCCAUCUAAUCUCUGUCAUCCUAUUUCCAGUUGUCUCUUCUCCACUCGUUGCUGUACCUCCUGCACACGCAUCUCCACUAAUCACUUGAAUCUUUUUUUGUUAUUGUCUCAUAAAUUUACCAAAUUUAGAAAUACGGGCUAAUUUUCCUCUGCGACACCUGGCAUUCCACACUAACGAGUGAAUAAGGCCGUUCAGGCUGAGUGACAGUGGACGGUUAUUUAUUGUGCGGUUACACCACACUCACCAGCUGGGGUAUAAAAGAGGUUAGACAGACAUGCAGACAGAUAUGGACCUUUGCAUGGAUGGAUGGAUGGAAGGAUUAUAAUGAUUUUCCUUUUCCUGUCUGAUGAUAUGAUGACAUUUACCUGUCAUGUGAGGACAGAAAGGGUUUUUUUAAACCAAGCUGCUCCCGUGCACUCCUCCAAAAUCCCAACUGCACAUUGGUCGAUGUGUUCACUGCUGACUGCUCAUAAAGUGGACCGGAAUCGCUGGCUGAUGGAAAAACAACAGCGCAAGCAAGAGUGGCCCACAGACCGGUUGUACCACAUAUUUUUGACAACACCCUCAUGUGACAGAAAAUGAUCUCUGCAGGUACACGGGCAGUCCAGAGCUGCCCAUGGAGUGCCAAUGCACUUCCACUGCUUGUUCCUAAUUUGCCUCUUUACUCCUUCUUUCCUUUCCUUGUGCAUUUGUACAUUCUUGUUUCUUUUCCUCAUCCCUUUACCAAAUGUGUUAGUUCAGGACAGG